GCGAAGGUAGCGAGGGUAGCGAGGGUAGCGAAGGUGGCGAAGGUAGCGAGGGUAGCGAAGGUAGCGAAGGUAGCGAGGGUAGCGAAGGUAGCGAGGGUAGCGAAGCUGGCGAAGGUAGCGAGGGUAGCGAAGGUAGCGAAGGUAGCGAGGGUAGCGAAGGUAGCGAGGGUAGCGAAGGUGGCGAGGGUAGCGAAGGUAGUUUGAUAGUUUGAUAGUUUGAUAGUUUAUUUGACACUAAAACUUACAGCUCCAGAAUAUAACUAAUUCCACUGCUGAAAUAUGUUAGGUUUACAAG